ensembl:lncRNA
AGUUGAGGCAGAAAUUGGCCCUACUACAGAGAGAGUACUCCAGGACAGUGAAGAGAUUGCAGCGAGCUGAGCGUUCGGAUGCUGUACGGAAGCAUGUGAGAAGCCACAUAUCUAACCUCCUGGAUCAGAGGGACCCAGGUCCGGCCAGCACCUCUUUCAACCCAGCUCUGCCCCCUCUCUCCAUUGACAGCCCUGCUAGGACAGUCCCAGGCUUGGCCACGCCACUAGGCCCUGCUCGAGACUCGAACCCUGCCAACACCAGGAGAGAGCCGUCCGUCUGCUUCCUCCUCCCUGUCGAUGACUCUCUGACUCCUGACCCUAAACCUGACCCUGCCGGGGGUCACAGGCGAAGCCCUGCCCUCCGGCUGAGGUCACGGAGAAGCCGGUUGCGC